rnacentral:rRNA from 1 species
GGGGUGCCUAUACUGCAGUCGAGCGAAUGGAAAAGAGCUUGCUCUUAUGAAGUAGCGGCGGACGGGUGAUUAACACGUGGGUAACCUGCCCCUAAGACUGCGAUAACUCCCUUAAACCUUAGCUUUACCUGAUUUUCUUUUCUACUGCAUGGUUCAAAAUUCAAAUGCCUCUUUCACUAUCAUUUUUGGGAUGGCCCCGCUUCGCUUUACUUAGUUGGGGAGGCUUCGGCUCACGUUACCUUUUAUGCGUACCCGACCUGAGAGGGUGAUAGGCCACACUGGGACUGAGACACGGCCCAUACUCCUACGGGAGGCAGCAGUAGGGAAUCUUCCACAAUGGGCGAAAGUCUGAUGGAGCAACGCCGCGUGAGUGAAGAAGGAUUUCGGUUCGUAAAACUCUGUUGUAAGGGAAGAACAAGUACAGUAUUAUUUUGUUGUACCUUGACGGUACCUUAUUAGAAGGGGGGGGGGGGGUACGUGCCAGCCGCGCGGUUUAAUACAAAAAUG